UAUUAAGUGAUAAAAUUAAUUGGAUCCUACAAGUGAAAAUCUAGGCAAGGAAAAUCUUCUUCCUUCUUAAUGAAUGAUUUUUAUGUCUCUUCAUUCAUGUCCUUCUAGGUAGAGCAACACUCUGGAGACCUUCCUUUGAGGCAUUUCACCACCGCAGUAAGUGUGAUGUAUGACUAAUUAGUCCACCCACAGGGGGCUGGUGAAAUUAAAUUGGAAGUUGUUUCCUAACUGGCAUAUCUUGGACUAAAAUUAAUCUAAUAACAGCUUUCAUAAGAGAGCAUAAGCUUGAAAGACAACAUUUUUCAUUCAACUUUACCAAACAAAGUGCAAAUUUAGGUCUCCAGUUGCGAAGUUUGGUUGUGUGUGGAUUGUACAGUGAAGGUACCAGUGGACAACAGUUGCUCCUCAAGCAAGUUUAUACAAAAGCUUUGGGAGAAGUCCAACUCUAGAUAAAAUUCUAAUGUAUUUCAUGCUUGUGUUCAGAGUUUCUUUUUCUCUCUCCAAGGUAACCCACAUAUCAGA
rnacentral:lncRNA from 1 species